rnacentral:siRNA from 1 species
UGCGAACCAUGUCAGAGACACGGC